rnacentral:rRNA from 1 species
ACGAACGCUGGCGGCGUGCUUAACACAUGCAAGUCGAACGGUGAAGCUCCAGCUUGCUGGAGUGGAUCAGUGGCGAACGGGUGAGUAACACGUGAGCAACCUGCCCCAGACUCUGGAAUAAGCGCUGGAAACGGCGUCUAAUACUGGAUACGAGAUCAAGCCGCAUGGUUAUGGUCUGGAAAGUUUUUCGGUUUGGGAUGGGCUCGCGGCCUAUCAGCUUGUUGGUGAGGUAAUGGCUCACCAAGGCGACGACGGGUAGCCGGCCUGAGAGGGCGACCGGCCACACUGGGACUGAGACACGGCCCAGACUCCUACGGGAGGCAGCAGUGGGGAAUAUUGCACAAUGGGCGAAAGCCUGAUGCAGCGACGCCGCGUGAGGGAUGACGGCCUUCGGGUUGUAAACCUCUUUCAGCAGGGAAGAAGCGAAAGUGACGGUACCUGCAGAAGAAGCACCGGCUAACUACGUG